GGACGACGUCAAGUCAUCAUGGCCCUUACGACCAGGGCUACCCACGUGUUCCAAUGGUCGGUACAAAGGGUUGGUACCUAGCGAUAGGAUGCUAAUCUCAAAAAGCCGAUUGUAGUCCGGAUUGGAGUUUGCAAUUGGACUCCAUGAAGUCGGAAUCGUUAGUAAUCGCGGAUCACAAUGCCGCGGGGAAUACGUUCCCGGCCCUUGUACACACCGCCCGUCCCCCCAUGGGAAUUUGUUGCACCAGAA
rnacentral:rRNA from 1 species